rnacentral:rRNA from 1 species
GAUGAACGCUAGCUACAGGCUUAACACAUGCAAGUCGAGGGGCAGCAUGGUCUUAGCUUGCUAAGGCCGAUGGCGACCGGCGCACGGGUGAGUAACACGUAUCCAACCUGCCGUCUACUCUUGGACAGCCUUCUGAAAGGAAGAUUAAUACAAGAUGGCAUCAUGAGUCCGCAUGUUCACAUGAUUAAAGGUAUUCCGGUAGACGAUGGGGAUGCGUUCCAUUAGAUAGUAGGCGGGGUAACGGCGCACCUAGUCUUCGAUGGAUAGGGGUUCUGAGAGGAAGGUCCCCCACAUUGUAACUGGGACACGGUCCAAACUCCUACGGGAGGCAGCAGUGCGGAAGAUUGGUCAAUGGGCGAGAGCCUGAACCAGCCAAGUAGCGUGAAGGACGACUGCCCUAUGGGUUGUAAACUUCUUUUAGAAAGGAAUUAAGUCGGGUAUGGAUGCCCGUUUGCAUGUACUUUAUGAAUAAGGAUCGGCUAACUCCGUG